GUAUCAGAAAAGAGCACAUUUUUAACUCCGUGUGUGUAUAUGUAGCAGAACAAAUGAAUGAUUCGUUAUUACUCGACUCCUACGUAACGUCAUUUCAAAAGCGUAGGAAUUCGAGUCGAUGAAAAGAGAAAAUAAAACCAAAUUAAUGUAGGUGGCGGUAUGUGCUCAUGGCUCCAUUCAGCCAUUCGAUCGAAGAAGAAGAAGAACGACAGCUCAAACCAACGUAGUUAGAACGAUGGAGCUGCGACACAGGUGUCAGUUUUCACCGGGCUGGAGUCAAAUAAGGGCGUGGUUAUAAGGUCACCGUAGCCACCAGAUCCAGUCUGUAUCCAGAUCAGAUGGUCACUGCAGUCACCCGGAUCCAGUAGGUAUCCAGACCAGAUGGUGGAUCAGCACCUAGAAAGGACCUCUACAGCCUUGAAAGGAGAGAAGCUU
ensembl:lncRNA